CUUGAUGAGCAGAAGAGACUUCCUAAAAAUGUUAAAAAUCUUACUUAUCCCAAAUUUCAAACGGCAGUGUAGUUGAACGUGUGUUUGUGUUUGUCCGUUUGCACUCAUAUGCCUCUCUGGAUAUGUUCUCCUCUCUAGUGGCCAGCUGAUAAAGUCUCUCAGGGGUUUUGAUCACACGAUGUCUCGGUUUAGCAAACAGCUCUGUGCCAGGACUGUCUCCCCAGGUCUGGGCUCUCCGCCCUGGGCCAAAACCGGCCAUCUGCUCCCUCCUCUGGAGCUCAAGGGCCAUGCAGUAGCAGGGGGUCGUGAAAUAUUUUGAGCUGUGUUACUGCCGCCAAAUCCUCUACUGCUUGACAACACACACAUCCACGCAAACACACUUGACCAGGCACAAAACCUGUAGCACUCAUAGUCAUGGUGAAGAUGACUAAAAAAAUGAGACAUGAACUAUUAUUUGAUGCUGUUUUGAGUUGAUCAUAUUCUAAAAAUAUUGAGAAAUGCUUUGAGAAUCUGCAGGGCAUGCAGACAGCUCUAACAUUCAGUCAUUAAUAUGUUCACACACACUCAUACACUUCUCUAAUGAUUGUUGGUGUGUGUGUGUGUGUGUGUGUGUGUGUGUGUGUGUGUGUGUGUGUGUGUGUGUGUGUGUGUGUGUGUUUGUUUUUAUUACAUGGUGGGGACCUCAACAUGUAAGCACACUCACAUAGUGGGGACCAAAAACAUAGUGGGGACCGAAUCCCCGGUCCCCACAAUGUUUUGCUUGUAAUAGGCUCAGGGGGCGUUGCUGAUAGGCCUAGUGCAGUUUUUUUCUGAAUCCCCUCCAUGCACAUAAACCGGAUUUCUGUGUGUGAGUGUGUGUGGCAGCGCUGCUCUACAGCGCCCCUGUAGUCUGGCCGCGGAACUGCGCCUCUACACACACUGACGCGAUACACACACUUUACCUGCUGCUCAUGCGCGAAUCACCGGACCACAGCACCGUUAAUUACCGUUAAUCAAUCUUCAUCGACGGAUUCAUCAAUCAGUACAGAGAACGGAGUGAGGUUUGUGAUUCCCGGGGAGACGCUGAAUCGAGCGCCGGUGAUGAGGCCUGCUCUCGGGGAAGAGGCGGAGGAUCACGGUGUCAACGCCGCCGACGAGACGAAACAAAACCCAAUAUAGAGUCUUGAUGUGUGAGUGAUGAAGUUAUGACAGCGGUGGAGAACCGCUCUGGACCUGUCAGAGCUACACAACUUCAGUUUGAGUCCACUAAAUCAUCCUCAGCACAGCACACUAUAUGUGAAGAUGACGGGACACUUCCAGCAGACACAGCGUUCAAAAGAAAGAAAGGAAUCGCGUUGUUAAGGAAAAGCGCAUCCACAACGGAUCCACACUACUAGAACAGUUAAGUUCACUUGUGCAUUUACAGUCUUUUGUGCAACCGUAUAUUGUAAUAUUGUUUAUUGUAUGCAUAUAAAUCAGAUUUUUCUCAUAUAGAAUGCGUUUGGUUAAGCUAUAGCCUAUAGAGGGUUAAUAGAGCGCUUCAGUUUGCUGGUGAUCAUCUUUUGCUCAGCGCACGCAGCUCAAACAGCAGCUUACAACAUUAAUAACUAUGAUUGAGAUUGUCAUAUAUAUAACAUUAUAAUGAGAACACUAUUAUAAUAAAACAUAAUGAAUUUGUUUGGUUUCCGUGUUUCAGCGCGUUGUUGCGGGAAGAGCCAAGAGCGCAUCCACAACAGAAGUUACACAUUCUGAUUAGCAAAUCACUUAGUUCGAGUUCAUGUGUGUAUUUGGUCUUUUUGUAUGUAUGUAAGUUGUAAUAUUUAUGUUGUAUAAAUAUCUGAAUAUAUGAUGUGUUUCCCUGUGUUAAAUAAGCUGGCAGCACUUCGGUUUACCGGUGUUCAUUCAGCUCUUCAGCUUCAGCACACGUGGCUUGAACAGCAAUGCACAGCAUUAAUAACUAUAAUUGGUAAUGUCAUAAACAUAAUAUUAUAAAGAGAAUAUUACCGUAAUAAAAAAGUUGUAAAUUAUUUGGGUUUAUUUGCCGUGUUUCAGCACGUUGUUACAGGAAGAGCCAAGAGCAUGUCCACGACACAUCUGACUAUCCGGGUUGUAGCGCGGGUGCAUUGCAAUAUUGGAAAUAGUCUACUUCUGUUUUAAACUGUGAAGGCGAGCCAGUGGAUAUCAUACAAGCAACGUGCAAACUUUGUGCAAGUCAAACUUAUGCCGGUGAAUGUCUUUCACCAUGAUAGUGAAAGUAAAAACUGAUGGUGCUUUCUGCAUCUGACGACCCAUUAACUGCGCGUAUUAUCUCAGAGAUGACGAGACACGAAUCUCCUAAUAUGUGGUAUAUAUAACUGUUUUAAUUUAUUUCUUUAAUGUUUCUCUUGUGGCCCGAACAUAGUGAAAACAAUGAGAAGAAACAUUAUUUGUGUUGACUAGAUUUUUUUUGAAAGUCGGUGCAUAAAAUAAAGCUGCUCUUUUGUUUCAUUGAUUAAGUGUUACUGAAGUGUAACAAUUUUAUUUAGGCUAUAGGCUUAUCAUUCAUUGUAGGCUAUAAUAAACCUGUUUUAAAAUACAUUUAUUUUCCUCACAGUCUGUGAGUCACUGCGUGUCAGUUAUGCGGUGAUGCGCUAUGAAAUUGUUGCGAAGCAAAUGAAUUGUAAUAUUAAUUUAAUAAUAAAAGUAACCUAAUAAUAAUAGCCAGAAAAUAACAGGCCUACAUUCAUUGGAAAUACCAAAUACUCUUAAUAAUGACAAUAUUUAAUGAUUUUGACAAUAUCUCUGGCUGUAGUCCUUACAUGAUUAUCGUCUUUCAACACACUCCAUCAUCUUAUUGUCAGGCCCCCCGAUCCACUACGCCACAGUCCAUGGCAUGAUUUUGUUAUUUAAUUUUUCUACACUAAGUAAUGUUGUCCGUUAAGUUAUUUCCAUUAUUUAAGCAUUAUUUUAUUUAUUUGUAAGGCUGCUUUGUUUGAUUUAUGUUGAAGUGUUUAAUGCCUUUUAAUGGUGUGACUUUUUUGUAAUCAGGCUCUCAAAAAUUAUGUAAAAAUGUGGAUUUAGAUUUAUCGGCCAACAUAUCAGUUAUCGGCUUUCAUAUUUAAGGAAUUAUCGGUUAUCGUUAUCGGCCAAAAUUUUCAUAUCGGUGCAUCACUAGUUAACACCCCUACUGGUCAGAUCAUGUUUUCAAGCCAUCUAAAGUUUGAUUUUUGACACAAAGUGGUGAUUUCUCAAUGGGGUUAUUUACUUAUUAACUAGUCUUUCCAUUAACACCCAUUAUUUUUUCUUUUAGACUGAUUUGUGGUUGUAGAAUG